CCGUAGGCCCCUCCCACCGCAUGGACCGGCCAAUAGACAGCGACGCUGACUCUUUCGGCCCCACCCCCUCCCUCACAGGCGCUCCACGGUGACCGUGGGGACGUUUCCCAAGUAGGUGUCAGCGAAACGGCUUUUGCGGCUCUUCGUAAACCAGACGGAUCUGCGCAGAAGUAUUAGCGCCAGGAUGGCAGCGUUCCUCGAGCCCACGCUGCCGGAGGAGGAGAGGGACUUUCACAAGGCGAUGGCUUUGAUCGGCGGCAAAGAGCGGAUCUAUCUGGUCAGUGAUGCCUGUACCAUUAAAGAGGAGGACGAGGACGCGGCGGUGUUGCAGGAGUUUAUCCGGGAAAUGUUUUACAACAGCAGCCCGGCGGACAGCAGGGGCGAAACCUCCAUUUGCGGCAUGCCAGGGGCUGUAAAAAGCCACGAAACCCCUCCGGUGGCGGGGCCCAGGGAUCCCGGUGUCACCGCCUUCCCGGCGGAAGAGGACGGGGCGGACAAGGAGAAGCGGCCGAAGCGCGAUGGCACCGCGCAGAGAACAGCAACAAGGGCGAACAUUCACAGCCAAAAGCGAACCAUAGACUCUCCCAUUAUCAUAUUCAUCUUCAGACAGACAUUUAUCAACCGACCAUCCAACCAAUUGUGCUUGAAAGAGACGCUGAAGGACGUGAAGGCUCGCACGAAACGUGCCCAAAUCGCCCGACCGGCUCUGAUUGGAUUAAUACGCACAAGACUGGAGAGCGCAGAGACGCGACAGUGUGCGCUACUCCUGGAGCGCCAGAUCCGCUCGGUGUUCCACAAACAUUCACCAGAGACUAUAUGGGUCGGCAGUUUCAUCCCGCGGACAGAGGCCAAUCUGCUCAGCAUCAAGAAAAACGCCUGCAAAGUUAUAUACUCGUCUCAAACCGCAGGUGUAAUACCGUGCGUGAGCCACGCUCUUUUACCGGGCAGCCCGUAUGUGCUUCCUGCAAAUGCUUUAUGUUCUUUAACGGGAAUGUGUAUCAUCUCGUUUGCUCAAGCACACGUCAGCAGCGUAGGUUUGUCAACUUGGAGUUUGAACCGUGGUGCGUCUAACCAGGCCACCCAGCAGAUUUGAUGAUGCGUGACAUAUUGGAUUUCUCCAAAUAAGCGACAGAUUUUUGACCCUUUUUUAAAAAGCUAUUGAAGGGAAGCAUACAGAUAUGACACAAGCCCCAAAACUCAUUUAAAUAGAGAUAACCGAUUACAUUAUAAUACACCAUAAUACACCAUAGAAGUAAAUAAACAAAUCUCGAUAUUGCAUUGAUUUCUUAGUAGACAUAUACACUUACGAUACGAUCAUGGUAACUUCACUAAUUAACACUGCACUCAUUUCUGGCAAACACUGCAGUGAUUUGAGUUAGUGGAGUCCACUCAAUCCACAUGAUUCACAUUUUCCUUCCCAGCCUGCAAAGUCCCAGGAACAAAGGGAGCGUUCAUGGAACGGCCGGGCCCUUAGAUACGCUGCCAAAUUGUUAAACGCUCAUUAUUGCCUUUCAGAUAAUACCGGGGAUGGAGGGAACCAGCUUUUCUGGCCGUUCCGAUGUUUGCUCUGGCCACGGAGAAGAGGCCGGGACACCAAAUCCUCAACCAGCAGGCAACGAGCUAACACUGGAAGUAAAGAAGAAGUCAUCCCUCUGAAAAUCGGUUUGUUGUCUGCUGGCCCUCAUGUGAAUGGAGACUCUGUUGGAGGAGACAGCUGAUUUCAGAACACAUGGCCUGCAGACAAUCCUCUUUUAACUGUGAAGAAAGGGUUUGCCUUGUGGUACUAAAAAGCCUGACUACAUGUGACAGUGUUUCUGUAUAGUGGUCCAUAUUCCAUGUUCUGAAGAUAUAUUUAGCUAGUCAAAUAGUUUCAGACGGUGAAACAUACUUUUACUGUUUAUGAUUGGGGCUGAUUCAAGUAACUAUUUUUUAUAUGAACUAUAUUACAUUAUUUUACACCACUUUGAGGCCUAGAGAGAGAUUUGUCUGAUCCAUGUUAAAACCCUCAGUAUGGCUAGUGUUAAGCAGAAGUAGUCCUACCCCAUCAACAUGAUGCACAGUUACAUACGGGGCUGAAUGGUCAAUUGCUCAUUGUGUGUCAUUUGGAAUUUACAUCACCAAAGCACAACACCAACAUAAUCAUAAAAAGCGUCUUAAGUAAGGUCCCGCUUUAUUAAUAGGGACCAAACACCUUAUUGUUUUCAAUGAAGCCAGUACUGUGAAUCCUUUUCAUGUUAAUUUAUUAGAAUUAAGUGCCUUAGAUGAGUGCUAAUGACGAACGCAUUAUCUGCAAUAGAAGUGGAUGAAACCACGUUUCACUUUGUACCUGUAUGUGUUCGCUAUUCAUUUGUAAAUAAAAGCAUAUAAACUUUUCUGAGUGUACA
ensembl:lncRNA